rnacentral:lncRNA from 1 species
CUCAGUCUCAGGGAAGCCAGCUGCCAGGUGCGCAGACAGUCAAGCUGCCAUGAGGAGCAGAUUCCUCCUACCAACAGCCUGCAAAUGAGGGGGAAUUUCAGGUGAUGACUUGGCAUCGGGGUGUCACUCCGCUUUCCUGAGUAUCU